CGGGGAGCGGGCCAUCGCGGCGCUGCGGGCUCGGGAGGCCGGGGCCACCUCCAGGCCGGAGCUUUUAUCCCGACCAAAGGACCUGGCCAGCGCCAUCCUCAGCGGGACUCCAGCUCCUCACCACAGCUGGAAGGCAGAGGAAGCAGGAGAAGUCGGGUGCCUGGCACUGCUGCUAACAGUUGCUGGUGCAAGCACGGAAGCUCCCGUUAUACACAGUGGAAAGGGGCAAGACUAUUAAGAAUUUGGCCGGGCGUGGUGGCGCAUGCCUGUAAUCCCAGCACUCAGGAG